UGUUAGCAGGAGAAGCGCAAAAAACUUUUCUUACCAGAACGCCUAAUAGCCUUUCCACGGUUUAAGAUCUCGCUGCUGUUUUCAAGAAAUAUGUUAACCGCGAUUAAUUUUAUUCAGGACGUGUGAAAAAAGUAUGAGCCAUCACUGAAUCAGUUUUUAUAUGAAUUUUUUUAUGCACUCAGGGUAAGUUGGAAUCCACUAUUCGAAUAUGAUUGCAACAAUUUCAACUCAUCGAAUUAGUCUUUCGAAGUGGUUCCAAGCGCCAGCUAUUAUGUUUGUUAUUCUUGUAAGAUCUACGUUUGAUCUCAGGGCCGUUUUCGGUGAAAAAAAUCAAUGGAAAAACUGUCGACCUAGAAAAGUGUUCUGCUUGUCUACUGCCCCUGAUUUGAAAGAUUUGAAAACUAUGAAAGGUGUGGGAACACUUUUGGACGAGGAUAUCGAGAGAUAGAAAUCAGUCACAAAGGCGCAGACGUCCUUAAAUGCACUCCGAUGGUGCUCAAAUCAAACAGCACAGCACGUUGCUAGGAAGACGCCCACUUCUAUUUAGUAGUAAGCACUUCACCGACGUGGAUCACUUCCAGUCGAACAUAGUGACAAUUGGUCAUGUCGUAUACGGGAAAAACUAAUACCUCUGUCGCUCCAAAGUCGAUCCCGUAAACCAACUUCGAUCAUUUGGUCAGAAGCUUGCUUCAUUGGUUUCCGUCGAAUGCGAUAGGAAUGAUCCUAACUCGACUGAUUAGUUAACUGCUUUACCAGUGUUUGACUCCUAAAAAGUAUUCAACGCCCAACCACUGGACGAAAUUGCUAGGCCGGACGUUUUAGCGCACAGCUCAAUUUGAAAUAUCAGGAACAUAUGUUGUGAUUUAGAUUAAAUCUUUGUCGGAUCACUGCUGCGAAAACAGCAUAGCUAAGGGUGUUGGAAUUAACACAACACGGAUCAUGAAAGCGUAUAUAAGCCAAUAGGAUUUGGAAU